GGAGAAGAAGCGCUAAUGAUUCCAUCGGACGGAGGUGGCGGCGGUGGGGAAUUUUUGGAAGAGGGAGGUGAUCCGGUAGGAGAUUGACCCGAUUGUGAGUCUGAAUCUUUGUUUGACGAAGCAUCUCCAGAAAGGGAUUCCGCAUUCGACAUUUUUGCUUAUAUUUUUUAGUGAAAGUUUUUUUUUUUGGGGUUCAAUUCUUACCUUGUGAAUUUCCGGCAAAAGAAUAUCGCAUUGGAAACACAAUGCCGGAAAUUUCACCACCUCUCAAUCCCUGUUACAAUUACAGAGAAACAUCAAUUCGCAAUCCUCGUAAGAUCAGGAGUAUCAUCUAUCGAAGAUCGAAGAUUCAUACCGGAAGAAAGAUUCAGAGGAAGGUCAUGAGAUGAAGAUUGAAGAGUGUUGUUGGUUGAAAGGGAAGCCCUCUGGUUUGUUCUUGACAGAGGAUGUUCUUACAAAGUUGGGCUUCCCCUUCUUCCCUUUCUCCUAUCAACCUCAAAGGUUGACAAACUUAUGGGGAAAAUGAAAUCUUCCAAGCUCUCAGGUUGCUUUGUUUAGCGAUUAAUGAACACAACAAAAACAAGACAAAUCUAACCUCAUUAGUUAU
rnacentral:lncRNA from 1 species